rnacentral:rRNA from 1 species
GACGAACGCUGGCGGCGUGCUUAACACAUGCAAGUCGAACGGAAAGGCCCUGCUUUUGUGGGGUGCUCGAGUGGCGAACGGGUGAGUAACACGUGAGUAACCUGCCCUUGACUUUGGGAUAACUUCAGGAAACAGGGGCUAAUAUCGGAUAGGAGCUCCUGCUGCAUGGGGGGGGUUGGAAAGUUUCGGCGUUUGGGGAUGGACUAGCGGCUUCUCCGCUUGUUGGUGGGGUAGGGGCUUACAAAGGCUUUGACGGGUAGCCGGCCUGAGAGGGUGAACGGCCACAUUGGGACUGAGAUACGGCGCAGACUCCUACGGGAGGCAACAGGGGGGAAUAUUGCACAAUGGGCGGAAGCCUGAUGCAGCAGCGCCGCGUGCGGAAAGACGGCCUUCGGGUUAUGAACAGCUUUCGCCUGUGACGAAGCGUGAGUGACGGUAAUGGGUAAAGAAGCACCGGCUAACUACGUG